rnacentral:tRNA from 1 species
AAGAAAAUAGUUAAAUAUAACAUUUGAAUUGCACUCAAAAAGUAUUGAAUAAUCAAUUUUUCUUA